GGGGCUGUAGCUCAGUGGUAGAGCGCUUGCCUCGCACGCGUGAGGCCCUGGGUUCCAUCCUCAGCACCA
rnacentral:tRNA from 1 species